rnacentral:lncRNA from 1 species
CCUGCCCAAGGUCACGUGGCUGGCGCGAGCCAGACCUGGGAUUAGGGGCCUAGGCCAUCUCUGGAAUUUGGGAAACCAGGUUGGAUCCGGCCCUUGAGAGGGGGUAUGAGUUUCACAGGAGGUGAGGGUGUUCCAGGCAGAGGGAAAAGCACGGACAAAGCCUCUGCGGAGGUGGGAAAACAGGAGGUGAGGAGUCAGUUCGACUCAGGCCUGGGCUACGGCGUCCAGAUGGCGGAGGCUGGAGCAGCCAGAGCUCCCUGGGGCCUCCUAGGGGUCGGGGGGGGGGGGAAGGAGGGUACAGCCGGUGUGCCCGGGGUGGGGUGGGGGGUGCUCCAGCGCAGGGAGGUGCGGAGGCCGCCCUGCCCCCACCGCACCCCUCUCCAGGGACUGGCAGUUUGGGAAGUGCAGCGUGUGCUCAGGAAAUGGUCGGAUUGGAUUACAGGGAAGAUUAAAGCAGCUAAAUUGGGCCUGGGGCUGGGGGGAAGUGUUCGAGAAGGGAACUGCACAGGGCCAGCAGCUGGACGGGCGCGAGAGGCUGCCGGGAGCGAGGGGUGGGGGCUGGGAUCCCACAUCAGGCAGGAAGCCCUCCUGACCCCAAUGCCAUGGGCCAGCCAAGUCUGGGUCCCCACUCCAGCUGCCCUGCUGCCAUCCAUGCCACCUGGGGGAUCUGGGAGAUUCUAUGAGUAGUCAGGGACUUUAUCUACCAGGGAGACCUCGGUGAGGGUCAGGGAUCUGCCCGAGCAUCCAUAAGCCCUCUAGUCACGGAGCUGAAGAGAAGGCAGGGAAGAGCUUGGCAGUGUUGCCCAACAGAAAAGAGGCUGUGUAGCUGAAGCAAGGUGAGCCCAAAAGAGAAGCGUGUGAACUGAGGUUGGCAGGGUGGGCAGGGCCCCAGUUCUGUGGGACCCUGGAGGCUAUGAUGAGUUUGGGUUUGGCUGGUUCAUUAGUUCAGGGAAGGGGGAGAAAUUGAAAAUGGUGAAACAGGCAGAGUCUCCAAAAGAUAUGAGUCCUAACCCCCAAAUAUUUGAAGAGUAGAUCUGUGGAAAGUGUUUCUUCUUGCUCUGUUUGGCUCCUAGGGCAGAAUAAGAGUCAUAGCAGAGACAUCUCCUGGGUUCAAAUAUAGGGAAAUGUUUUCUUUUUUUUUUUUUUAAGGCAUUGAUUUAUUUUAUUUAUUUAUUUUUUUAA